UAACUUUUGACAACGGAUCUCUUGGUUCUCCCAUCGAUGAAGAACGCAGCGAAAUGCGAUAAGUAAUGUGAAUUGCAGAAUUCAGUGAAUCAUCGAAUCUUUGAACGCACCUUGCGCUCCUUGGUAUUCCUUGGAGCAUGCCUGUUUGAGUGUCUUGA
rnacentral:rRNA from 1 species